rnacentral:rRNA from 1 species
CGGGUGAGUAUAAUGUGGGAAUCUGCCUUUUGGUUUGGAAUAACACGAGGAAACUUGUGCUAAUACCGGAUAAGCCCUUACGGGGAAAGUUUUAACGCCGAAAGAUGAGCCCGCACUUGAUUAGCUAGUUGGUAAGGUAAUAGCUUACCAAGGCAACGAUCAAUAGCUGUUCUUAGAGGAAGACCAGCCACAUUGGGACUGAGACACGGCCCAAACUCCUACGGGAGGCAGCAGUGGGGAAUCUUGCACAAUGGGGGAAACCCUGAUGCAGCGAUGCCGCGUGAGUGAAGAAGGCCUUUGGGUUGUAAAACUCUUUCGUCGGGGAAGAAAAUGACUGUACCCGAAUAAGAAGGACCGGCUAACUUCGUGCCAGCAGCCGCGGUAAUACGAAGGGUCCUAGCGUAGUUCGGAAUUACUGGGCUUAAAGAGCUCGUAGGUGGUUAAAAAAGUUGAUGGUGAAAUCCCAAGGCUCAACCUUGGAACUGCCAUCAAAACUUUUUAGCUAGAGUAUGAUAGA